rnacentral:rRNA from 1 species
GACAGAGGGGGCGAGCGUUGUCCGGAGUAACUGGGAGUAAAGAGCGCGCAGGCGGCAACCUUAGUGUCGUGUGAAAGCCCCCGGCUCAACCGGGGGAGGCCAUGGCAAACUGGGUCGCUCGAGCUGCGGAGAGGCCCCUCGAAUUGCCGGUGUAGCGGUGAAAUGCGUAGAGAUCGGCAGGAAGACCAAGGGGGAAGCCAGGGGGCUGGCCGCAGGCUGACGCUGAGGCGCGACAGCGUGGGGAGCAAACCGG